UACGGAGGGGGGCUAGCGUUGUUCGGAAUUACUGGGCGUAAAGCGCACGUAGGCGGCUUUGUAAGUUAGAGGUGAAAGCCCAGGGCUUAACCCUGGAAUUGCCUUUAAGACUGCAUCGCUCGAAUUGUGGAGAGGUGAGUGGAAUUCCGAGUGUAGAGGUGAAAUUCGUAGAUAUUCGGAAGAACACCAGUGGCGAAGGCGACUCACUGGACACAUAUUGACGCUGAGGUGCGAAAGCGUGGGGAGCAACAGG
rnacentral:rRNA from 1 species